rnacentral:lncRNA from 1 species
CUUGCUUGAAAAGCGGUGAUUAAGAUUGGCACUUGCUUACAGGAGUGAAAAACAGCUGAGAAGACACUUCUAAGAGGUACAGCUAAAAGGUGGAGGACUGAUAGACAACUUAGAGGUUGGUUUCGGGAACGAUAAAACAAGUAACGGGCUGCCCGGCCUGCGCCGCGGAGUCCCGAGGAGCCUGCGCUGUGCUCCUCUCGCGGUGUCUCGUCAUCUCCGGGAAGACUCGGCGCCUGGGUCCGCGCUCUCUGGGUAAGCUUUCCGGGAAGCUUUCCCGGGAGCUCGCUGGUCCUGGCCCCAGAAGCCUGCGGACCCGCCCAGGGAGGAUAAGCAGCUGAAAGACCGCGCGGUGCCGCUCCGAGGCCCCGGGACGUGGGCCCAUGGUCGGCCUGGCGCCACCUUUCCGGGGGAAGCCACGCGCACCAGGCAUCGCACGCGGCUCUGCACCCGCGCCGCCGGACCUGAAACCCGGCGGAGGGCACACGGGGCUGCCGCUGCGGGCCCCGGACCAACCCAUGCUUACUCCGGAGCCUGUACCGGCGCCGAC